CCAACAGCGGAAGGCAUUCUUCCCCUCUCCGCUGAAUCAUCAUCAAAAAGAAAAGAAACGAGACCUUCCUCUCGAGUCUCGAGACGAACCCUAGAUCCUGAACCCUAGAUCCGAACUGACCUUCCGUCAGCUUCCUGUUCCGUGCGACAUGGAAGCUCGUCGGCGUCUUCAUCCGCCACCCGGUGCGGAGCUCUCCCGCCCUCAGCCUCGCUGGGUGAUGCUAGAUCGCUUCGUCCACUACAAGGCGUACGCUGGUGAGGCUGUUGCGGAGGAGGUAAUGGACGGCACGCAAUCGGCGAUCUCCUCCACCUGCACCAACAUAAGCAUCGCCGUCUCUCUCAGGGUUGCUGAACCGCCCGCUGUGUCCCGUCUCUACCUCCACUGGCCCGAGCGAUUCAUGACGGCGUCGUUGAGCCAGGUGAGUCAGCCGUUCAUCAUCGCGGCUCACGGCCGCUCCAUACUUUUCCAGGCGUAUGCCCCCUUCGUUGGAGAUAGAUGUCCGGCAUUCUACUAUUACCCCAUAGACUAUUUCCUCUACACAGCCUCUGGCUCAGAGAAGUCUCCUUGUCUCAUGCGACUCCCGCCUUGCUUCGAUGGUGGGGACAAGAACCCGGACGUGGAUUUGUACUUCCACCCGUACCGUCUCCAGCAGCUGCGAUCUAUGUGGCGUGAUGACAUUGGCCUCCUUUGCCGUGGCAAGGGGGAGUUCGUGGUGGCGCAGCUCACAUUUGGCGGCCAGCUCUGCGUGCUACACCGUAAACCUGGGGAGGAGGAGGGCGACAUGAAUUGGAGCGUUGAAAAUAUGCCCUUACCUGACGGCGAUGACAUCCCAAACCUGCUGUGUGGUUCGUGGCAAACGGACGCCGUCGUCCCCUAUGGUGGUUGUUACCUGUGCUGGGCGGAUUGCUACCUGGGCUUGCUUUUUGUCGGUGUCAUUGACAAGCGGACGAAGCCCCCGUGCUACGUCCCCUUACCUGAUGGUCUGGAUUCCAAUUGUCUGUGCAUUGACCCAGGGUAUCCUGACCCGGCCCGUCGUGUCUGUGUCUCUGAGUCCGGCUUGAUUAACCUCAUAUGUGUUGGUGAUCGUGCUGGCUGCAGUGUGUGUGCCAGUUCUUAUUCUGCUUUCACUAUCACAGUAUGGACUUUCACCAACUUAAGGGAAAAGAAAUGGAUGAAAUGUUUCACCAUGGAAGACAUCAAGUUCUGGGCUGCUCUUGAUUUUGACAAGCGUCUUCCGCAUGUGCUACCAGAGUUCCCUACCAUCAGCUUGGUUAAGCCUGAUGUUGUUUCCUUCCGGUUGAAUGGUGGUAAUAAACUUUUCUGGCUGAUUGAGAUUGACAUGAAGAAGGAAGUGCUGGGGUCAACCAGUCUCUACAUCUUUGAAGAAGAAGAAGAGAAAUGCUCCACUGACAUGGCCCACUGGAGAUCAUUUCCUGGCUACUCCUUUGUUCCCAGCCCGUUCACCCGAUACUUGGACCAGCAUGCCAUCAGAAGGAUUGCUCUGGUCGUGGCUUUAGUCUUGCGUGAGAUAGCGCUGUAUGGGCGGACGAUAUGUUCCGUCCCAUGCCGUCCGACCAGAUGCGUGACGGGACCAUGUCUUACUCUACUGCCGAGGCUGCAAGAUGGCACACACACGAGUACGCAUGGCCGUCUCACACGGGCGGAAUAGUUGAUUGAUGGUGAGGCCUGUUGAUGAUAGACACACGUUCAUCCAUCUUCACCGGCCCUAGCAGUCUUCCUACCCCAAGCCCCGGCGAUCACAGCUGUCGCAUUGACGACUCUGUCAGGUUGCAUAUAUGUUCGUCAGGUCAUGUAUCCACAAGAGCCGAUUCAACUAUAGGCCCCCAUAUGAACGGUCAACGCCUGUCAGAAUAAUGAGGUCGUGCUGCUAGCAAUCGAAUAUUUAUGGUCUCUUGACAGAGAUAAUAGAGACUAGAUACUGCAUCGGAGAUUUGUUAUGCAAAUGAUUGUACCGUGUUCUUUUAGAAAAUGCUACUAACAGUAGCACUCAGAGAAUGAUGUCAUCCACAACCUCUACACCGAAUGUAUCUUUUGGUCAACAAAUUUUGGGUAUAAAAGCUCAGUAGAGUUUCCGUAGCUCUUCAUGCAUGAGGCUUAUUGAUCAUUAUGUCUUUCACACAUAUUGGUAGGAUAGAAAUUGAAGCAUUGUGACCAUUCAUUUAUUUGAAUCAUUAUUUGAGACCAAGGGGACAUCUUUACCUUUUUGUUCAAUAUGCAGUGUACUCCAGUUCCACUUUCUGGUAUGCCAGUUCUUAAGCCUUUCCUCAAACCCCUCUUCCUAAGAUUGCUCAUUAUCAUAUUGUGUCUUGAGGUCUCAUAAACUCUAUUUGUAGCAUGCCUGUAUAUUUAGUUUUGGUGCUAUGACACUCUAAACCCUAAUUGUGCUUUACCAUGAUUUAUAUAUCAAACCGAGUUAUUAAAUUUUCAUGUUGUUUGCUCUUCUCUUAAGUUUGCCAAUUUGUGUUGUUUCAGGAUUUACUUCAGUAGACUAACAACUCUAUCUCUUCCCUUUUUAGGUGCACAACUCUUAUGUUCUGUUUGGCUACCUUUUUUAGACCAGCCAUAAGUGACCAUCAAAAUUACAAACUUGCUCAAGCACUUUCACCAAAAAAAACAUCCCUGGCUAUAGUAGUCAUUCUCUUGCAAUUUAAUUAAUUAUAUUCUUUCGUCGCACAAUAAGAAUUGUUGCUCUUUCAUAAGAAAUUAUUUAUUCAGUUUGGUUCCGUAUAGCACAUGAUUAACAUUUUUCCUUUUGGGGGGAGUAACCCAAGAUUAUCUUGAUUGAAAAUAUGUAUUUUGUA